GGUGUAGGCGGUCAGGCAAGUCGGAUGUGAAAGCCCUUGGCUCAACUGAGGAAGUGCAUUCGAAACUGCUCGACUUGAGUAUGGGAGAGGAAGGUGGAAUUCUCGGUGUAGCGGUGACAUGCGUAGAUAUCGAGAGGAACACCGGUGGCGAAGGCGGCCUUCUGGACCAAUACUGACGCUGAGACCCGAAAGCGUGGGGAGCAAACA
rnacentral:rRNA from 1 species